UAACUUCCCGCUAAUAUACUUCCUAAACCCACCAACUAUCCUGGACAGGUGGCACCACAACCACCUUUGGAUGAAGACCCCAUACAGUAUGCGUGUCAACAUCCUAUAUACUGGAUCCUAUCAUAUUCGAGCGAUACGGUCUUGAUCCUAAUGACUACUUACCGGAGACUUCUCCUAAGGUUCUCACUUUUGCUCUCUCUUUGUGGGUGGGACGGUGGUCGCUGCGUACAUAGUAUGUCUGUUUCCUUGCUAGUAUGUUAAACUUAGAAAGAAAUUCAAUGGCACUCAAGAAUGAGAAGUUAGAAACUUUGGAUUAAUUGGAGGUGAAUGUUUUACAGUUACAAAUGGUAAAAGUUUGAGGCAUUUUGUAUUUCUAAUGCCCACACAGAGGUUAUUUCUAACAAAACCGAGGAAGACAAAAACCAAUUUUUUUUAUGCAUAUUCAUAUCAAAAAAUUAGCCUAAUUAUUCCGAUUACUGUGUCUUGUUGGUGCUAUUUACUUAUUCGUAUCCUAUGCUAUUGGGUUUACAAAUUAUGAAUCCUUUCAAUGAUAAUAUUCCCUGCAUUCUUUAGUGAAUAUUUAAUUGUGACUCAUUUAAAGUGAUUUUGCCUUUUGAUUUGAUUUAAUAGACAAGGAGCAGAAGUGAAAGCAAACGACCAGAGAGCAAAUUAAGAUAUAUCUUGCAGAAUCCUAAUGGCUUCCUACUUUACCUAGCACAUUUGGCCUUGUCUUUAUUUCUGAUCAAGCUGUUUAAUAAUUGGAUAUUAAUGUAAGGAUGCUGUUUCAUUGGUCUACAAAGUUUAUGGCCGUCAAAUGGCAUGACCCCUUUCACUUGGUGAAUUAUAAGAAAUGUUGAAAAACCAUACAUAGGUUUAUUUUUCUCUUCACCAAUUUAAAUUUUACUUUUGUUUUAUUUUAAUCUAAGGAAUUGUUUUCCCAUCCAAAAGAAUUUAAUUCCACCAAUAGUAUAUUGAACAUUGUAGGUGCUUGGAGGAAAGGCUAAAAGCAAGAAGUUGUUGUCACUGAAAGGCAUGAAUGUGCGACCAAUGAUGGAAGUUGCAAAAGGUGCAGCAUUUGACAUCUUGCAGGCAUUAGGCAGCUGGUGGGGGUCCUGCAUCUGUAAGGCCUGGUCUGGUUAGACUUGUAUAGUGGAACAGGUUCUGUCGGUAUAGCAGCUAGCAGCCGAGGAUGUUCUGAGGUGCAUUUUGUUGAGAUGGAUCCCUGGGUUGUUUCAAAUGUUCUACGACAAAAUCUGGAGUGGAAUGUGUUUCAUAAUGUUUCAGUUAUACAUACUAUCUCUGUUGAAUGUUUUUUAGAGCGUGCAGACCAAUUUGUAGGUCGUGGAGUAUCCUUUAAGAACUGAUAUGUCAGAUUCAUGCGGUUGUCUUGAAAAGGUUGGUGCCAGCCAGUAUGAACUUUGGCAUUGAACUUCCCAGAAUCAUGUGCUCUCACUCAGGGAUGCAUACAAAAGAUCGGUGAUUUGGUCGUACUCAUUUGGCAAUAUAUGGACCCAAGUGGGCCCAGAAGAAUAGAAUGGGAAAAGCCUCUUAAAAUGGUAGCAGAAAGUUUGCAUACUCAUGUGAUUGGAAGGAAGUGACACCUUUUUUCAUGGAUGCUGUCACAUCUCCAAGUUCUAUUAAUAGGUGUUGAAAUAACCACCCCUAACUUUUGGACAUGCAACAUAAGUACUAAGAGAUCUUGUUGGUAAUUUUUUGUUAUCAUAAUCAUUGUAUCUGCAAAUUUUGUAAUGAUACGGUCCAAUUGGUAUGUAUUAUCUGCAUCUUGAAAAAGUAUUGUGCUUAAAUUUCUAA